GACGAACGCUGGCGGCGUGCUUAACACAUGCAAGUCGAACGGAAAGGCCCUGCUUUUGUGGGGUGCUCGAGUGGCGAACGGGUGAGUAACACGUGAGUAACCUGCCCUUGACUUUGGGAUAACUUCAGGAAACUGGGGCUAAUACCGGAUAGGAGCUCCUGCUGCAUGGUGGGGGUUGGAAAGUUUCGGCGGUUGGGGAUGGACUCGCGGCUUAUCAGCUUGUUGGUGGGGUAGUGGCUUACCAAGGCUUUGGCGGGUAGCCGGCCUGAGAGGGUGACCGGCCACAUUGGGACUGAGAUACGGCCCAGACUCCUACGGGAGGCAGCAGUGGGGAAUAUUGCACAAUGGGCGGAAGCCUGAUGCAGCAACGCCGCGUGCGGGAUGACGGCCUUCGGGUUGUAAACCGCUUUCGCCUGUGAUGAAGCGUGAGUGACGGUAAUGGGUAAAGAAGCACCGGCUAACUACGUG
rnacentral:rRNA from 1 species